AGACCGAUCCGUAUUGCUGUUAUCCUCCAGACAAAAUUCCAUCUUCGUGAGACCCAUAGUUCUCCCCUGAAUUUCUGGCAUUUGAUUGUACUUGAAACAGGUUGUAAUCUCAAUUGGGGUCCAAAUUUUUUUUCUUCUGACAGAGUUGAUGGACGAUGGGCUCAAGAAUGCAAAGCGACUGGGAGGAAAAUUGGCCACCCGUGAAAGACAACUGCUGAGGGGAAAAACGUGUUUUGUUGAUCUCUUGCUCAGAAAAGAAAUCCAUAUG